rnacentral:rRNA from 1 species
AAUGAACGCUGGCGGCAGGCCUAACACAUGCAAGUCGAGCGUGCGGCGGACGGGUGCGUACUGGCUGGGAAACUGCCUGAUGGAGGGGGAUAACUACUGGAAACGGUAGCUAAUACCGCAUACCAUCAGAUGUGCCCAGAUGGGAUUGGCUAGUGGGUGGGGUAACGGCUCACCUAGGCGACGAUCCCUAGCUGGUCUGAGAGGAUGACCAGCCACACUGGAACUGAGACACGGUCCAGACUCCUACGGCAGGCAGAAGUGGGGAAUAUUGCACAAUGGGCGCAAGCCUGAUGGAGCAAUGCCGCGUGUGUGAAGAAGGCCUUCGGGUUGUAAAGCACUUUCAGCGGGGAGGCGUUACCCGAAGAAGAAGCACCGGCUAACUCCGUGCCAGCAGCCGCGGUAAUUC